rnacentral:rRNA from 1 species
AGUUUACUACUUUGCCGGCGAGCGGCGGACGGGUGAGUAAUGUCUGGGAAACUGCCUGAUGGAGGGGGAUAACUACUGGAAACGGUAGCUAAUACCGCAUGACCUCGUAAGAGCAAAGUGGGGGACCUUCGGGCCUCACGCCAUCGGAUGUGCCCAGAUGGGAUUAGCUAGUAGGUGGGGUAAUGGCUCACCUAGGCGACGAUCCCUAGCUGGUCUGAGAGGAUGACCAGCCACACUGGAACUGAGACACGGUCCAGACUCCUACGGGAGGCAGCAGUGGGGAAUAUUGCACAAUGGGCGCAAGCCUGAUGCAGCCAUGCCGCGUGUGUGAAGAAGGCCUUCGGGUUGUAAAGCACUUUCAGCGAGGAGGAAGGCAGUCGUGUUAAUAGCACGAUUGAUUGACGUUACUCGCAGAAGAAGCACCGGCUAACUCCGUGCCAGCAGCCGCGGUAAUACGGAGGGUGCAAGCGUUAAUCGGAAUUACUGGGCGUAAAGCGCACGCAGGCGGUUUGUUAAGUCAGAUGUGAAAUCCCCGCGCUUAACGUGGGAACUGCAUUUGAAACUGGCAAGCUAGAGUCUUGUAGAGGGGGGUAGAAUUCCAGGUGUAGCGGUGAAAUGCGUAGAGAUCUGGAGGAAUACCGGUGGCGAAGGCGGCCCCCUGGACAAAGACUGACGCUCAGGUGCGAAAGCGUGGGG